rnacentral:rRNA from 1 species
GCUCCAAUAGCGUAUAUUAAAGUUGUUGCAGUUAAAAAGCUCGUAGUUGAAUUUCUGAGCUGUUCUGGUGUUUCCGCUUCGGUGUGAAACGCCGGUCAGUUCAUCCUUGUGAGGUAGUGCGUGAAAGCGUAUUAUUUCACAUCCUUUACUGUGAAAAAAUUAGAGUGUUUAAAGCAGGCUUGUUGCUUGAAUACAUUAGC